rnacentral:rRNA from 1 species
UACGUAGGGUGCGAGCGUUGUCCGGAAUUAUUGGGCGUAAAGAGCUUGUAGGCGGUUUGUCGCGUCUGCCGUGAAAAUUCGAGGCUCAACCUCGAACUUGCGGUGGGUACGGGCAGACUAGAGUGUGGUAGGGGAGACUGGAAUUCCUGGUGUAGCGGUGAAAUGCGUAGAUAUCUGGAGGAAUACCGGUGGCGAAGGCGGCAUCCUGGACCGGCAUUGACGCUGAGUGAGCGAAAGCCAGGGGAGCAAACGGG